AUGAGCCACGUGCAGGGAAACUUGCAUGUGUGGUUCUUGCUGGGGAAACAUAAUCCCUUGCACGCGUGUAUAAUAAGGAAGGAAACCUUGCUGGCUAUUUCUAU
rfam:Capsicum annuum cultivar Zunla-1 chromosome 4, whole genome shotgun sequence